rnacentral:rRNA from 1 species
CACGUAGGGUGCGAGCGUUGUCCGGAAUCAUUGGGCGUAAAGAGCGUGUAGGCGGCCCGGUAAGUCCGCUGUGAAAGUCCAGGGCUCAACCCUGGGAUGCCGGUGGAUACUGUCGGGCUCGAGUCCGGAAGAGGCGAGUGGAAUUCCUGGUGUAGCGGUGAAAUGCGCAGAUAUCAGGAGGAACACCAAUGGCGAAGGCAGCUCGCUGGGACGUGACUGACGCUGAGGCGCGAAAGCGUGGGGAGCAAACAGG